rnacentral:rRNA from 1 species
GAUCCUGGCUCAGAACGAACGCUGGCGGCAGGCCUAACACAUGCAAGUCGAGCGAGGUAGCAAUACCUAGCGGCGGACGGGUUAGUAACGCGUGGGAACGUGCCCAAAGGUACGGAAUAGCCUCGGGAAACUGAGAGUAAUACCGUAUGUGCCCUUCGGGGGAAAGAUUUAUCGCCUUUGGAUCGGCCCGCGUUGGAUUAGGUAGUUGGUGGGGUAAUGGCCUACCAAGCCGACGAUCCAUAGCUGGUUUGAGAGGAUGAUCAGCAACACUGGGACUGAGACACGGCCCAGACUCCUACGGGAGGCAGCAGUGGGGAAUCUUAGACAAUGGGGGAAACCCUGAUCUAGCCAUGCCGCGUGAGCGAUGAAGGCCUUAGGGUUGUAAAGCUCUUUCAGCUGGGAAGAUAAUGACGGUACCAGCAGAAGAAGCCCCGGCUAACUCCGUG